GUGUCAGCCGCCGCGGUAAGACAGAGGGUGCAAACGUUGUUCGGAAUUACUGGGCGUAAAGCGUGUGUAGGCGGCUAUGUAAGUCGGAUGUGAAAGCCCCGGGCUCAACCCGGGAAGUGCACUCGAUACUGCGUAGCUUGAGUCUCGGAGAGGUUGGUGGAAUUCUCGGUGUAGAGGUGAAAUUCGUAGAUAUCGAGAGGAACACCGGUGGCGAAGGCGGCCAACUGGACGAAGACUGACGCUGAGACACGAAAGCGUGGGGAGCAAACAGGAUUAGAAACCCGCGUAGUCC
rnacentral:rRNA from 1 species